UUCCCGAGUAUGGAUCAGUUACUAUCCGAUGCUUCACGUGCCUCAUCAUGAACUAUUGGAGCCGAUUCUUUCCAAUCAAAAUCUCUAAACAAAAAUCGGGCGAAUACAAAUUCUUUUUACCUGGAAACUGCCUCGCUGCUGUGUUAUCGGGUGACAAAUGGCGUCCUCGU